UACCAGCUCUCCGAGUGGUAGGGAUGAUUAUUGGGCUUAAAGCGUCCGUAGCCGGCUUAGCAAGUCUCCUGUUAAAUUCAGCGACCUAAUCGUUGAGCCGCGGGAGAUACUACUAGGCUAGGAGGCGGGAGAGGUCAACGGUACUUCCGGGGUAGGGGUGAAAUCCUAUAAUCCCGGGAGGACCACCAGUGGCGAAGGCUGUUGACUAGAACGCGCUCGACGGUGAGGGACGAAAGCUGGGGGAGCGAACCGGAUUAGAUACCCGGGUAGUCCCAGCUGUAAACGAUGCGAGCUAGGUGUUGGGGUGGCUACGUGCCACUUCAGUGCCGCAGGGAAGCCAUUAAGCUCGCCGCCUGGGGAGUACGGCCGCAAGGCUGAAACUUAAAGGAAUUGGCGGGGGAGCACCACAAGGCGUGAAGCUUGCGGUUC
rnacentral:rRNA from 1 species